UUUUUUUUUUUUUUUUGGGAGCCGGAGAUUUGCUGUUGUUGCCCAGGCUGGCGGCUCCCCUCCAUUGUGCAAUGAUGCAACCUCUGCUCACUACAACCUCCACCUCUAGGCUUCAAGCAAUUCUCCUGCCUCAGCCUCCUAAGUAGCUGGAAUUACAGAGACUGGGUUCUUCCAAACUGUCCAGGUUGGUCUUGAACUCCUGGGGUGAAGCGAUCCUCCCACCUGGGCCUCCCAAAGUGCUGGGAGGCCUGAGCCACUGUGACUACCUGAUAUGUCUCUUCUCUCUUGCUGCUUUCAAAAUCCUGUCUUUUGUGGGAGGGCAGCCGCCGGGCCCUGGACUUCUAUGGGGUCAUCCACUGAGGACAGGAGGACCGGGCCCUGUACAGGCUCUAGUACCAAUCCUGGCUCUUUGCCCCAGGAGCAAAUUAAAAGGCAGCUUCGAUUUUCAACCAUGGAUCUGAUGACUUUCAACAAACCUUCCUGAGAAAAUGCUGUUCCCACCAGAAGAGAUCUCAGGACAAAUGUAGACAGCCCUGCCCACAGGGGAGAUGGUCCGGCCAGUGUGGGGGCUAAUGAAUAAAUGCUACACUGUGCCCACUCAGGUCACAACCCCCAGGAGACCUGGAGAACUGAAUGCUGCUGCCCCCAAGGAGGAGGCUGCUGUCUUAUCCCAGGAGGGAGAGCAGGAAAAUAAAAAGGUUCAAAAGGAAGUUGCUGCGUAUCCAUCUGAGGCCUCUGAGGACAGCAAAGAGC
rnacentral:antisense_RNA from 1 species